UGAAGGAAGGAAGGAUCUAUGGUUCGUAAACUUCUUUUGCAGGGAAAAAAAGUGCAGGACGUGUCCUGUUUUGUAUGUACCCUGAGAAUAAGGAUCGGCUAACUCCGUGCCAGCAGCCGCGGUAAUACGGAGGAUCCGAGCGUUAUCCGGAUUUAUUGGGUUUAAAGGGUGCGUAGGUGGUUUGAUAAGUCAGCGGUGAAAGUUUGCAGCUUAACUGUAAAAAUGCCGUUGAAACUGUCGGACUUGAGUGUAAAUGAGGUAGGCGGAAUGCGUGGUGUAGCGGUGAAAUGCAUAGAUAUCACGCAGAACUCCGAUUGCGAAGGCAGCUUACUAAGCUACAACUGACACUGAAGCACGAAAGCGUGGGGAUCAAACAGGAUUAGAUACCCUGGUAGUCCACGCAGUAAACGAUGAUUACUAGCUGUUUGCGAUACACAGUAAGCGGCACAGCGAAAGCGUUAAGUAAUCCACCUGGGGAGUACGCCGGCAACGGUGAAACUCAAAGGAAUUGACGGA
rnacentral:rRNA from 1 species